rnacentral:rRNA from 1 species
UGAGGAAUAUUGGACAAUGGGCGCAAGCCCGAUCCAGCCAUGCCGCGUGCAGGAAGAAGGCCUUCGGGUUGUAAACUGCUUUUGUACGGAGCGAAAAGGUCUGCCCUAAUACGGUGGGCUCAUGACGGUACCGUAAGAAUAAGCACCGGCUAACUACGUGCCAGCAGCCGCGGUAAUACGUAGGGUGCGAGCGUUAAUUGGAAUUACUGGGCGUAAAGCGUGCGCAGGCGGUUAUAUAAGACAGAUGUGAAAUCCCCGGGCUCAACCUGGGACCUGCAUUUGUGACUGUAUAGCUAGAGUACGGUAGAGGGGGAUGGAAUUCCGCGUGUAGCAGUGAAAUGCGUAGAUAUGCGGAGGAACACCGAUGGCGAAGGCAAUCCCCUGGACCUGUACUGACGCUCAUGCACGAAAGCGUGGGGAGCAAACA